GCCUUCGUGGUGUAGUGAUCAGCACACUCGAUGCGUAAUCGAGAGGUCCGUGGUUCGAUUCCUGGCGAAGGCG
rnacentral:tRNA from 1 species